CGUGCCUAAUACAUGCAAGUCGAACGGGGAAAGUAGCAAUAUGAGUACCAGUGGCGCACGGGUGAGUAACGCGUGGAUAAUCUGCCUUGGAGUGGGGGAUAACCAGUCGAAAGAUUGGCUAAUACCGCAUAAGACCACAAGAUCUGCGGAUCAAGGGGUCAAAGGUUUUUCGUUCCAAGAUGAGUCCGCGUGAGAUUAGCUAGUUGGUGAGGUAAUGGCUCACCAAGGCGACGAUCUCUAACUGGUCUGAGAGGAUGAUCAGUCACACUGGAACUGAGACACGGUCCAGACUCCUACGGGAGGCAGCAGUAGGGAAUAUUGCACAAUGGAGGAAACUCUGAUGCAGCGACGCCGCGUGAGUGAUGAAGGCCUUCGGGUCGUAAAGCUCUGUCGCAGGGGAAUAACACAAUGAAUGUACCCUGCAAGAAAGGAUCGGCUAACUUCGUGCCAGCAGCCGCGGUAAGACGAGGGAUCCUAGCGUUGUUCGGAAUUAUUGGGCGUAAAGCGGGUGUAGGUGGCUAUGUAAGUCAGGUGUGAAAGCCUAGGCUCAACCCUAGAAGUGCAUUUGAUACUGCGUAGCUUGAGUGGUAGAGAGGAUAGUAGAAU
rnacentral:rRNA from 1 species